AUGUACAACUUUCCCCCCUGGUUGUGCAUGAAGAGGAAGUACAUUCACAUGAGUAUGCUAAUUGAAGGACCGAAACAACCAGGGAACGACAUCAAUCUGUAUCUGGGGCUGCUGAAAGUGGAGCUUGACACGCUGUGGAAAACGCCAGCCAAUACGUGGGACGCCGCAGAGAAAGAAUAUUUCCCUAUGAGAGCCGCGCUGCUCACGACGGUGCACGACUAUCUCGGUUACGGAUAUGUCGCGGGCAGGUGGUCCACGGAUUUUCUGGAUGCGUCAGGUGCAUGGAUGACACAACGUAUUGUCAGCUAG
rnacentral:rRNA from 1 species